rnacentral:rRNA from 1 species
UACGUAGGGGGCAAGCGUUAUCCGGAUUUACUGGGUGUAAAGGGAGCGUAGACGGCGAUGCAAGCCAGAUGUGAAAGCCCGGGGCUCAACCCCGGGACUGCAUUUGGAACUGUAUAGCUAGAGUGUCGGAGAGGCAGGCGGAAUUCCUAGUGUAGCGGUGAAAUGCGUAGAUAUUAGGAGGAACACCAGUGGCGAAGGCGGCCUGCUGGACGAUGACUGACGUUGAGGCUCGAAAGCGUGGGGAGCAAACGGG